rnacentral:rRNA from 1 species
AACGAACGCUGGCGGCAGGCUUAACACAUGCAAGUCGAGCGCCCCGCAAGGGAGGCGGCAGACGGGUGGAGUAACGCGUGGGAACGUGCCCUUUGGUUCGGGAACAACUCCGGGAAACUGGAGCUAAUACCGGAUAAGCCUUCGGGGAAAGAUUUAUCGCCAAAGGAUCGGCCCGCGUCUGAUUAGCUAGUUGGUGAGGUAAUGGCUCACCAAGGCGACGAUCAGUAGCUGGUCUGAGAGGAUGAUCAGCCACACUGGGACUGAGACACGGCCAGACUCCUACGGGAGGCAGCAGUGGGGAAUAUUGGACAAUGGGCGCAAGCCUGAUCCAGCCAUGCCGCGUGAGUGAUGAAGGCCUUAGGGUUGUAAGACUCUUUG